rnacentral:misc_RNA from 1 species
UCUCCGUUGGUGAACCAGCGGAGGGAUCAUUGCUGGAAGCGUCUCACGGCGCACCCAGAAACCCUAUGUGAACUUAUACCACUUUGUUGCCUCGGCGCGAGCCGGGGGCUUCUAUAAGCCCCCCCUUACCUCGGUGAGGAGCAGGCCCGCCGGCGGCCCUAUAAACUCUUGUUUACCUUACGUAUUACCUCUGAGUAUAUAACAAAACAAAUGAAUCAAAACUUUCAACAACGGAUCUCUUGGUUCUGGCAUCGAUGAAGAACGCAGC